rnacentral:rRNA from 1 species
AGUGAACGCUGGCGGCAGGCCUAACACAUGCAAGUCGAACGGCAGCACAGUAAGAGCUUGCUCUUACGGGUGGCGAGUGGCGGACGGGUGAGGAAUACAUCGGAAUCUACUUUUUCGUGGGGGAUAACGUAGGGAAACUUACGCUAAUACCGCAUACGACCUACGGGUGAAAGCAGGGGAUCUUCGGACCUUGCGCGAUUGAAUGAGCCGAUGUCGGAUUAGCUAGUUGGCGGGGUAAAGGCCCACCAAGGCGACGAUCCGUAGCUGGUCUGAGAGGAUGAUCAGCCACACUGGAACUGAGACACGGUCCAGACUCCUACGGGAGGCAGCAGUGGGGAAUCUUGGAGAAUGGGCGCAAGCCUGAUCCAGGCAUACCGCGUGAGUGAAGAAGGCCUUCGGGUUGUAAAGCCCUUUUGUUGGGAGAGAAAAGCAGCAGGUUAAUACCCCGCUGUUCUGACGGUACCCAAAGAAUAAGCACCGGCUAACUUCGUG